AUUUUCAAUAAAAACAAACGAAAAUUAUCAACACUAUAUUACAUAUACAUAACUUGUUUUGUAUCUAAUUCUAAUGUUUCUCUAUGUUAUCAUGUUAUCAAAUUUUAAAUACUCCUGAAUAUAUUUUGAUACCAGCAAUGGGGUGCUUUACGAAGUUGAUUUGAACUCAUUGGAAAACAAAAUUUAUGAACCGCAUAAAAUAUUGUGAAUGGACACCUGUACGGACAACAAAAGAAUUAACAUGUAUAAAAGGUCAGAGUAGGUAAUAAAACAAUCAAAAUCAUGUUCUAAAGUGAGCAAACUGUAUCUGUCAAAUUUUGGUAUUCAUCAAUAACACAGAAUGCUGAUAGAUAAAUAAAUAAGGACACUAUGUGUGCAAUGAUUUUGUUAUUAAAUUGGCAAAAAAAAAUCCGGAUAUUUUCGAAGGUGGUGAUAAAUGAAUGGGACAAGUAAGUGCAGAACUUUUUGUUGCAUUGUCAAUAUGAUAUCGUUUAAAUUUCCCUUUGACAUGGCAAAUCACAUCAUAACAGAAAUUUGUGAUUGGAACAAUAUUUACAAACAGGAUUAGGAUCGUUUAAUUGUUAAAAAGAAAUAUUACGUUAAGUGAACUUUAAUACUGCAAAAAGAUAAUCUUCUUAAAUUUUAGUUGCAUCAGAGGACAUAGAAAUAAAAUAACAAUAGAACAAAACUAUUUUCUGACAUUUCAUUCAUUGGAAGUGACUGAGACGUUGUAAGUGCUAACCUUGGGGAUGAAUUAUGACAUUAUGUAAUUGUGAAUGAUAGCCUUAUAGUUACCAUGUAAUAUCGGGUUAAAUGUUUCAAUAAAUAAAUGCUCCAUAUCUGCUCGGUAUCAAUCAUAUUAUCUAUUACAUUGAAAUAGGCGUUAUUUUGACUUUUCUAAUUUACUUUUUUAAUAAUCUUUCCGUGGAAUUACUUGAUAUUUGUUUUAACUGUCUUUAGUGGAUACAAGCUCGUUCACAAACUGCGUUACCAGUUUAACAAAAAUCAUGUUUUGCAAGUGGUGCGAUAUUACAAAUUAAAUUUCUUUCAUUUUAUGCUUGCGUUAAUUUGGAAUAUUUUUUCACUAAGAAAAUGUUGAGUAUUUACCGGAUGCUAAUUAUCGAAGUGAAAACUAUGACAUAAAGUUCUUUAAGCCAGAUGAAAGUGCUAUAUGUCGAAUAAUUACGUAAUACGCACUUACUAUAGCUGUAUUAAUUAAGAAAUAAUUCAUGGAAGCCAUAGAUUUGUUUGAAAUUUACACAUGGGCUGGGCCGUGAUAUUCGAAUUUUAUCCUGAGCGUUAGCGAGGGAUAAAAUUCACGAAUAUCACAGCCCAGGCCAUGUGUAAAUUUACAACAAAUCUAUGGCUUCAAUGAAUUAUUUCGAUUCUAAUAGGACAAAUACGAUCAUUAAACAACUGAACCGAUGGUGGGUAUACCGUGUGUGUGGCUGUUCUAUU
rnacentral:lncRNA from 1 species